AUCAGUAAGGUGUAGGACAGAUUAGGUUUGGCUGCUGCAGGACACUUUCACCAAAUGCAUAUAUAUCUGGUGGAAGAGAUGUAUACAAUUUUAGUGCAAUCCUAGUGCACAAAUAUUUCCAUGAUACUGUAUUUCCUUUCUUAGAUGAACAGUUAUGGAAUGAGUGAAGUAUACAUGGAGGACUCAAUAUGUUAAAAGAGUCUUAGAGAAAAUAACUUUGAUAACUAUUCGUGCUUUGAAGGAUCAAUUUAUGCCGAGUCAUAUUGCUGAAUCUGCACUAACAUUAACGGGGUCUGUUUUAGAUUUAUCUAAGACACGCUAAGAAAUUCAGGAGUGGUUAAGGAUAAAUAUAGAAGAUUUAAGGGGUUUAUGGGAUAAAAUUUUCUGUUUUGUAUAUUUUUGGGCUUCAUUCGACCCCCUCUUUCAAGGAGACUUCUUUAUUUUUUAUUGUUAGAUAUUGGAAAGCUGUGUGUGAUAUGUAAUCUUUUGGUUUUUUUUCUUGCUUUUAGCUUGUGCUUGGUGGACUUCUUGGCCACUUGUUCUCUGUUGAACUUCCUUUAAUACAUUCUCUUUGUUAUUGAUUAAAAGGUAAUUAUUUCUAAUUUAGUAUUAAAAGAAGUAUUACAGAGAACAAAUGGGCAAGAUAGAUUUAUUUAUGUUUUAUUAAAUUUUAGUAGUUAAGGGUAAUUUGGUUAAUUUUAAAUUAUGAACUGUUAGGGAAUGGGCCCAACAUGUAUAUGAUGAUCUUACAGAUUUGUAUUAGUCAUUGAACUUGUAAUUUUUUGAGACUUGUAUUUCAGUUUCCCGGUCUUCAUAUAGGAUCAUGAAAGGAGGCAAGCCAUAACUGCAGCAGGUUUAGGAUGCAUUGCUGCUUUAUCAGUUGAGAGAUAUCUUGCGAGCAAUAAUCUCCUUGUUGAAUUUCACCAGGUAAAAGAAUCUGCAAGAUUACAUCAAGUAAUGCAGACGAUUCUCACUAUAGGAUAUGCAUUGAACCAAGGCACUGCUUGAGGAUCUGCCAUAGGAUUCAAAUUGGACAGCCUACUUAAGUUGUCUGAUGCUCGUGCAAGGAACAAUAAAAUGACAUUGAUGCAUUAGCGACCUCAGGAACUUGAUUUAUGCCCAGGAGGAAGAAGUGCAGAUUCAUUGUCUCAGUAUUUUGGGGAUCCAGCCAGGUGCCCUUUUGAACAAG